rnacentral:rRNA from 1 species
CCCUUAGAUGUCCGGGGCCGCACGCGCGCUACACUGAAGGAAUCAGCGUGGCUUUCUCCCUGACCCGAAAGGGUUGGAAAACCCGUUGAAUCUCCUUCGUGAUAGGGAUUGGGGCUUGAAAUUGUUCCCCAUGAACGAGGAAUUCCCAGUAAGCGCGAGUCAUAAGCUCGCGUUGAUUACGUCCCUGCCCUUUGUACACACCGCCCGUCGCUACUACCGAUUGAACGGUUUAGUGAGGGCCUCGGAUUGGUCUCGGCCCGCUCUUUACCGGGCGGCGCCGUUGGUCGAGAAGACGCUCGAACUUGAUCGUUUAGAGGAAGUAAAAGUCGUAACA